rnacentral:tRNA from 1 species
CUAAGGAUGAUCCUUCAGCGAGCUUCGGCUCACUAUCGGAUCGUUUUAGAAACAUCAGUGGCCAACAGAUCGCCAGAUCGUUGAGCUGCAUUGGCGGGAUUUCGCCGUCUUCGUUUCUCUUUCUUCGCGGACGAACACGCGCUGGCCUGCAACGACAGGAUCCAGGGUCCUUAACGGGAUAUGCGUUAGGGGCUUGUAGCUCAGUUGGUUAGAGCGCGCGCUUGAUAAGCGUGAGGUCGGAAGUUCAAGUCUUCCCAGGCCCACCACUUACAUCGAGUGAGCAUUCGUCUUCUGGUUACGGGGCCAUAGCUCAGCUGGGAGAGCGCGUGCUUUGCAAGCAUGAGGUCGUCGGUUCGAUCCCGUCUGGCUCCACCAGAUGGUUUGAUCACCGAGGUCAUGCACCGUCGUCCGCGAAACAUCACUUCGCAUCUUGCUAGUCUGGAUAGACAGUAAGUUGCGUGUUUUCUGACAUCGUAAAGAGGAGAUCGAUCCGAGUUGGGUCGUGCGGCAAAUUGCUGCGCGGGCCAUCAUUAUCUCCGGAUCAUUUUCGGCGCUCGCGUCCGGCCGCAAGGUUGGCCGCGAGUUGUAAAGUGAUCCUUUUAGCGAAGCUUGACCGCCUCGCUAUCGGAACGAUCUUACGAAGCAAGCUGGUCUUUCUAGUCAAUGUCCGGCUACAGAUGGCGUUCAUCGAGGGCGCGUGCCGCAAGGCAAUUCUGUAGACAACAUUCUGCCGAGUGUGUGGACAUUGAUAAUGAGAGC